rnacentral:misc_RNA from 1 species
UCCAGUGAUGAUGAGGAUG